rnacentral:rRNA from 1 species
UUGAACGCUGGCGGCAUGCUUUACCCCUGCAAGUCGAACGGCAGCACGGGCUUCGGCCUGGUGGCGAGUGGCGAACGGGUGAGUAAUAUAUCGGAACGUACCCAGAAGUGGGGGAUAACGUAGCGAAAGUUACGCUAAUACCGCAUACGAUCUAUGGAUGAAAGCAGGGGACCGCAAGGCCUUGUGCUCCUGGAGCGGCCGAUAUCUGAUUAGCUAGUUGGUGAGGUAAAGGCUCACCAAGGCGACGAUCAGUAGCUGGUCUGAGAGGACGACCAGCCACACUGGAACUGAGACACGGUCCAGACUCCUACGGGAGGCAGCAGUGGGGAAUUUUGGACAAUGGGCGCAAGCCUGAUCCAGCAAUGCCGCGUGAGUGAAGAAGGCCUUCGGGUUGUAAAGCUCUUUUGUCAGGGAAGAAACGGUAGAGGCUAAUAUCCUUUGCUAAUGACGGUACCUGAAGAAUAAGCACCGGCUAACUACGUG